rnacentral:lncRNA from 1 species
GUUCCUGACCUACGCUCCUAAGCACAGAUCUAGGAUCAGCUCAUCCUCAUCAAAUCCAAACCAGGACCUUAAUAAACCACAAGGGGAACACUAACCUCAGACCAGCGUUUAAACCCCACGUCUUCCUGCCAAGACACUGACACUCCGUCCAGAAUUCCUCUGCGCUCCAGCUGUCCAUACAUCCAUCCGUCCAUCCAUCCAUCCAUCCACACCCCAGGCAGCCAGUUAUGGGUCUGAUGAGCGAGGACAUGGAGUGCUGUGUCUGCCUCCAGCCCUACUCUCGCAGGGAGAAGAUCCCUCGGAUGCUCCACUGUAAGCACACAUUCUGUGGGCUGUGCUUGCAGGCGAUGUCCAGGCUCCAAAGCGGCCUACUGACAGUCUGCUGCCCCCUGUGCCAUUGGAUCACCUGCACCGAGCCCAGCCUCACCCUGCCGGGGUCGCUGUGGGUUAACACUGAGAUCUGGGACCAGAUACUAGACAGACAACAGGAAGAGGAGGAAGAGUGGAAGGGAUCUAACAGACAGACACAGACCACUACACAGUACACAUGUUCUCCAUCAAGGCAUUGUGGCCUGAGGCUCAAACUACAGAAUUUCCUGAGGAGGAUGAAGCACAAUGUACUGUAAACCGAGAAGACGAAGAGCAGAGAAAGAAGCCUGGAUUUUCCCAUUUCAGAGCAGGAGAUACUCAUUGAGUAAUGAAGCUAUUUCACAAAACAGGACCGACCGGUGACUUUACAUAAUGAAGCAAGAUUGAACCAAUUAUUCAUAUGCUUUGUGUUUGAUUGACUUUGGGUAUGUGUAAUGUUCUCAGUCAACUUACCUGGUAAAAUAAGGGUUACAUUAUAAUAUUAAUAAUAAAGGAUGGAUAGGUGGAGGAAAUAAAAAAUAAGAUAUUAAAUGGAUUGAGGAAAAAAGUAAGAUAAAGGAAGUUAUGAAUAGAUGGACAGACAGACAGACAGAUAGAUAGAUAGAUAGAUAUUUACAUAUUUAUAUUUAUUUAUUUUCCCUUGUGUACUUUAACCAUUUGUACAUUGUUACAACACUGUACACUGUACACAUAUGUAUAAUAUUACAUUUGUAAUGUCUUUAUUGUUUUGAAACUUCUGUAUGUGUAAUGUUUACUGUUAAUUUUUAUUGUUUAUUUCACUUUUGUAUAUUAUCUACCUCACUUGCUUUGGCAAUGUUAACACAUGUUUCCCAUGCCAAUAAAGCCCCUUGAAUUGAAUUGAAUUGAAUAGACAGACAGAUAAUAGAUAAUAGAUGUUUAAUGAUUUGAUAAAAGGUGUAUUACUGCGUGAAGGGAAGUGGAGGUUUAGUAUUUAUUAUGACAUCAUUUUAGAACAGCUUUAAUAUUGCAUAUUGUUUAUUUUAUCAAUGUAAUUGUCUGCAUCAUUUCCAGUCCCCCAAAUCAGGGAUGUUGGAUUUGUUUAUCCUCAUUGGACAUGUUUAAUUCAUCUGUUCUGUUUGAAGAGCAGGUUUUUAUCCUGGAAUUAUAUUUAUUGGUUAAUAAAUACAUCCACUUUAAAAUAACCCUGUCUUAGAGUUGUGAAAUAGCUUAUUAUUAUCAUUACAUUAGGAAAGUAACUGUCUGAUAUCCAACUAUUUAUGGACCCCAGAUAGAGUAGGGGGUGUUAAUACACUACACAUUCUACACUACUAUUUCCUAAAACACAAAACAAAUCCUAAACAUUCCACUGUCCUUGGUUUUGAUGUGUGCAGGACAUGACUGAAAUCACUCGCUGUCUAAUCAUGUCUCAGAGAACCCUGUAUGCAUUCUUGCAUAUGAGAUUCCCUAAAAACACAUUACUUUGAUAAAGCAAUAACCGGAAUUGAAUUCUUCGUAGCAUGUUAGGCGAAUUUAUGCAGCAUGUUAGGGGAAUUAACGUAGCAGGUUAGGAGAAUGAGGUUAAGGUUAGGAAAAGGCUUAGGGUUAGCUCUCCUAACCAGCUACGAAAGUCAUUUCUGGUCGUAGCUGUACCGAAGUGUUUUUUUUAGGAAGUCCUCCUACUACUUUUGAUCAGGGCCGUGCUCCAUCCACCCUGUUAUCUAAUCUAACCCCCAUACAUACCAUUCCUUAUAUAGUAUACUACUUUUAGUCAGGGCCAUGCUCCAUCCACCCUGUUAUCUAAUCUAACCCCCAUACAUACCAUUCCUUAUAUAGUAUACUACUUUUAGUCAGGGCCGUGCUCCAUCCACCCUGUUAUCUAGCCUAACCCCCAUACAUACCAUUCCUUAUAUAGUAUACUACUUUUAGUCAGGGCCAUGCUCCAUCCACCCUGUUAUCUAGCCUAACCCCCAUACAUACCAUUCCUUAAAUAGUAUACUACUUUUAGUCAGGGCCGUGCUCCAUCCACCCUGUUAUCUAGCCUAACCCCCAUACAUACCAUUCCUUAUAUAGUAUACUACUUUUGAUCAGGGCCGUGCUCCAUCCACCCUGUUAUCUAGCCUAACCCCCAUACAUACCAUUCCUUAUAUAGUAUACUACUUUUAGUCAGGGCCGUGCUCCAUCCACCCUGUUAUCUAGCCUAACCCCCAUACAUACCAUACUACUUUUAGUCAGGGCCGUGCUCCAUCCACCCUGUUAUCUAGCCUAACCCCCAUACAUACCAUUCCUUAUAUAGUAUACUACUUUUAGUCAGGGCCGUGCUCCAUCCACCCUGUUAUCUAGCCUAACCCCCAUACAUACCAUACUACUUUUAGUCAGGGCCGUGCUCCAUCCACCCUGUUAUCUAGCCUAACCCCCAUACAUACCAUACUACUUUUGAUCAGGGCCGUGCUCCAUCCACCCUGUUAUCUAGCCUAACCCCCAUACAUACCAUUCCUUAUAUAGUAUACUACUUUUAGUCAGGGCCGUGCUCCAUCCACCCUGUUAACUAAUCUAACCCCCAUACAUACCAUUCCUUAUAUAGUAUACUACUUUUAGUCAGGGCCGUGCUCAAUCCACCCUGUUAUCUAAUCUAACCCCCAUACAUACCUGACACACCUGUUUCAGAAUGUUGUAGUUUCUCUUUCUACAUAUCUCCCGUUAAUGAAUAACUACCGUUGAUUAACUACUAGUUGGAAAAGAGGAGUGGAGCUGUAGGUUAACAAAUACAUUAUUAUUUUAUAUGACAGUUUGGUAACACAGGGACUUUGUCCCAAAUGGAACACUAUUCCCUACAUAGUGCACUACUUUAAAGGCAAAGGCUCUGGUCAAAAGCAGUGCACUAUCUAUGGAAUAGGAUAGCAAUUGGGACACACCCAGGGACAACAGAGCUGCCUAUUUCUCUGACAGACACCUCAAGGCUACAAUUAUCAAGAAAAGUUAAGAAAAACAAACCAAAUA